AUUGAACGCUGGCGGCAGGCUUAACACAUGCGAGUCGAACGCGUGUAGCAAUACACGAGUGGCGCACGGGUGAGUAACACGUGGAUAUCUGCCUUUUGGUUCGGAAUAACCCCGGGAAACUGGGGCUAAUACCGGAUGGUUCCUACGGGAUAAAGAUUUAUCGCCAAAAGAUGAGUCCGCGUACGAUUAGCUAGUUGGUGAGGUAAUGGCUCACCAAGGCGACGACCGUUAGCUGGUCUGAGAGGACGAUCAGCCACACUGGGACUGAGACACGGCCCAGACUCCUACGGGAGGCAGCAGUGGGGAAUAUUGGACAAUGGGGGCAACCCUGAUCCAGCCAUGCCGCGUGAGUGAUGAAGGCCUUCGGGUUGUAAAGCUCUUUUGGCGGGGACAAUGAUGACGGUACCCGCAGAAUAAGCCCCGGCUAACUUCGUGCCAGCCGCCGCCGUAACAC
rnacentral:rRNA from 1 species